rnacentral:lncRNA from 1 species
CUUUCCACUGUUGAUAUGAGUGUCUUUUUAUUACAUCCUAGAAACUGCAGACUAAAGCCACUUGAAGUUUGUCACUGUCCCUGCAGUCUUCUUCUUUCUGCUAAACAUUUUUAAAAGAUUGAUUUCCUUGUAAAUAACAUUGAAAUCUUAUUUGCACUGUGGGUUCCAAGGCAUAUCUUGUGAAAGCUUCUGAUUUGCUGUUACUUAGGUUUCUUCAGGAGACACACAUUCAUGAGUUCAAGAUGACUAGUAUGCAUGAAAAUUUCCACUCAGAAAUGUAGAGAACUGUCAGUGGCAUAGGCUGUAAAGAGCUAUAGGUGUCCUUGUGUUCAUCUACUUCCUUCUAUACAGAUCAGGACAUGUCUGACAAGCAUCAAGAACAGCCUCUAAAGUUGCUGCAGAAACUGGUGUAAACUCUGUAUCUAAAUGGAAAAACCAAGCACCCACCAGAUUUGCAUUCUUCUGGUGCUCACUGCUGAUCCAAAUCUAAGUGCUGCUGCCUUCUGAUACUGCCCAUGGAGAGACACCAAAUAUGGCACACAAAGUCAGCACAACCUUUUCUGGGCAUCAUCACUUGAAAUCACGGCUCAGCUCAAGAAAGACUUUUCAGAGAGGAAAACACCCCAGUGACCUUUUUGAUUUGGCAGUCAUCUGGACUUCUUCAAGAGCCUGACUUCUCCUCAAGAUAACUCCUUUUUUUUCGGUUGUGUUUAUGGGAAGUCCUUGCAAGUAGUCAGCACUGAUCCUCCAGCUGUUCAAAUGUUACGCACGGAUGGUCGGAUGAUCAGUAUUAACUCCUCAAUGCCAUCAACAUGCAGUAACGAGAAGCAUUACUGAACAUAAAUUAUACUGUAUGGACUCUCAAAGCAAGAUCAAAUUUCAUAACAUCAGUUGGCUGUAAUUAUUUCCAAUACAUCCUGGUAUGGGGUACCGUCUCAAAGUAAUGGCAUAAAUUUGUCCAGACAUUGUUUUUAAAACAAUCAGUCACUGAUUUUCAAACUGAUUACCCAAUCAUACCGGGAAAGUCCUCCAGAUUGUGUAGUUUUGUCUGUAUAGUAAGAAUAAGAAUACUUGAUGUUUUGAUUGCUUUCUGUUGUUGUUAUUUGAUUGUUUGUGGGUUUAUUCAUUGGGUUUGGUAUUUUUUUGGCUGUGUUGUUGUUUUUAUGCUAGUUUUCAGUUGGUUGGUUUGGUUUGGGGUGGUUUCUGGUAAAGAAGUGUGAGCUGUGUGUUAAAAUUCUAGGAAAACAAAACCAGCUAGUUCACAUCAUGGAAUCAAAGAAUCAUUAAGGUUGAAAAAGAACUCCAAGGUCAUCCAGUCCAACUAUCUGUCUGUCACCACCAUGCCCACUAAACUCUGUCCCUCAGAGCCACAUCUACACA